UACGUAGGAGGCAAGCGUUGUCCGGAACUACUGGGCGUAAAGCGCGUGUAGGUGGUGGGACAAGUCUGCUGUGAAAGCGCCUGGCUUAACCGGGCGAGGUCGGCGGAAACUGUCGCACUCGAGGACGGUAGAGGGGGGUGGAAUUCCCGGUGUAGUGGUGAAAUGCGUAGAGAUCGGGAGGAACACCUGUGGCGAAGGCGGCCCCCUGGGCCGGCCCUGACACUGAGACGCGAAGGCGUGGGGAGCGAACGGG
rnacentral:rRNA from 1 species